AGUGGAUAAAACAUGAAUAUGUCACACUGGAUGAUGUCAAAUAUCUUGCUUUCCUUUUGAGAGAAGAAAAUGAGUCACAUCGCAUGCUACCAUUUGCAGCAGUUAUGGGGAAUAAGAAACUGGAUGAGUUCCUCAUGGCCCUGCUUUUCUACAUGUCUUUUUACCUGGAAAAAAUUGCCUUGGAAAAGAAAACCCAAUCCUUGA